rnacentral:misc_RNA from 1 species
GAAAUGCGAUAAGUAAUGUGAAUUGCAGAAUUCAGUGAAUCAUCGAAUCUUUGAACGCACCUUGCGCUCCUUGGUAUUCCUUGGAGCAUGCCUGUUUGAGUAUCAUGAAAUCUUCAAAGUAAAUCUUUUGUUAACUCAAUUGGUUUCUACUUUGGUAUUGGAGGUCUUUGCAGCUUCACACCUGCUCCUCUUUGUUCAUUAGCUGGAUCUCAGUGUUAUGCUUGGUUCCACUCGGCGUGAUAAGUUAUCUAUCGCUGAGGACACUGUAAAAGGUGGCCAAGGUAAAUGCAGAUGAACCGCUUCUAAUAGUCCAUUGACUUGGACAAUACUUUUAUGAUCGGAUCUCAAAUCAGGUAGGACUACCCGCUGAACUUAAGC